UACAGAGGUCCCGAGCGUUGUUCGGAUUCACUGGGCGUAAAGGGUGCGUAGGUGGUGAGGUAAGUCGGAUGUGAAAUCUCCGAGCUCAACUCGGAAAUGGCAUUGGAGACUACCUUGCUUGAGGGUUGGAGGGGGGACUGGAAUACUUGGUGUAGCAGUGAAAUGCGUAGAUAUCAAGUGGAACACCAGUGGCGAAGGCGAGUCCCUGGACAACUCCUGACACUGAGGCACGAAAGCUAGGGGAGCAAACAGG
rnacentral:rRNA from 1 species